rnacentral:rRNA from 1 species
AACGAACGCUGGCGGCGUACUUAACACAUGCAAGUCGGACGAGAAAGGGAGCUUCGGUUCCUGAGUAAAGUGGCGAACGGGUGCGUAACACGUGAGUAAUCUACCCUAGACACUGGGAUAACUUUCCGAAAGGGAGGCUAAUACCGGAUAGGUUCUCAUAGCACCAGCCAUGAGGGGAAAGCAGGCCUCUGUUUCAAGCUUGCAGUUUAGGAUGAGCUUGCGGCCCAUUAGCUAGUUGGUAGGGUAAAAGCCUACCAAGGCGACGAUGGGUAGCUGGUCUGAGAGGAUGAUCAGCCACACUGGCACUGAGACACGGGCCAGACUCCUACGGAGGCAGCAGUGGGAAUUUUGCGCAAUGGGCGAAAGCCUGACGCAGUAACGCCGCGUGGAGGAUGAAGGCCUUCGGUU